UACGUAGGGGGCAAGCGUUGUCCGGAUUUAUUGGGCGUAAAGAGCGUGUAGGCGGCUAGGUAGGUCCGUUGUGAAAACUCGAGGCUCAACCUCGAGACGUCGAUGGAAACCAUCUAGCUAGAGUCCGGAAGAGGAGAGUGGAAUUCCUGGUGUAGCGGUGAAAUGCGCAGAUAUCAGGAAGAACACCGAUAGCGAAGGCAGCUCGCUGGGACGGUACUGACGCUGAGGUGCGAAAGCGUGGGGAGCGAACAGG
rnacentral:rRNA from 1 species